rnacentral:lncRNA from 1 species
AUGCAAACUUGGCCUGGGGGGGCAAGAAUGAGUGAAGCAGUAGGCAAACUGAAGGCGGCCUCUGCUCCGUGUUGCUGCGGCCCUUGGGUGCUCUUACCUCACCCCCUUGCUAGAACCUCCCUGCUCAGCUGGCACGUGGAAGCGGGAGCCCAGAUCCAGCAGGCGAGACCUUGUGACUUCAGAGGCAGCUCAAAAGACCAAACACUGAGGGCAGUUGGAAAUUUUGUUGCUUACUGUGGUACAGCAAGCCUUCCCCUUAGUUCACAAGUGAGUCUUCUGAGAACUGCUCACAAAGAAGUGAACACUGACGCAAGACAGACGGAAAGAAGCAGCGCGCCCCUGGGAAAGGAGGACUUUGAGUAUAACAGUCUGACUUUAUCAUCACCUGUAGCACAAGCAGUACUGAUGAAUGAGCAAAAGGAAGAAGCAAUAAGAGAAAAACAAAAUGCCUUGAUCCAUAAACCAGAUGCACUAUUCCAAAAUGGGAACUGAAACUCAGCUCUGAGGGAAGUGAGCAGAGCAGUGAGAUGAAAACUACCCUCUCUGCAGGUCCGCACAGCAGUGGUAUCUUCUGUCUCUUUCCCCAGUGACUCCAGGUAUGAACAAAAACAUUGAGCUUAAAAUCUGAUUAAUGCUGCAGUGGUUCCUCCCACCUUGUAAGGUGGGAAAAAAAUCACCUAAACUAUUAUUUCCAUUAUUUAAAAAGCUUUCUAUCUAUCUAGCCAUCUAGCUAGCUAGCUAGCUAACUAGCUAGAUAGCUA